UACUGAGAGAUGAAUUGAAAGAAAAUUGGUUAAAAAUAAUUAAAUGGUGUUUAUGGGAGUUUAUGAAUUUGUAUUGAUAAAGGGUGAAAUCAAUUUUUUGAUGUGCAAAUGGUUAGAUUUUUUUUAAAUUGGGUUGAAGUUAUUAAAAUAAGGGUAUGAACCAGGAUUAGAUACCCUGUUACACUUUAUUUAAAAUUAAAAUACCUGGGUAUUAAACAGUUAUUAUCUCGAAACUCAAAGGAUUUGGCGGUAGCUUAGUCUAUUUAGAGGAACCUGUCCUGUAAUCGAUAGUCCACGGAAAAUCUUACUUUAUUUUGUAGAAUUCAGUUUGUAUACCGUCAUUAUUAGAUAACUUUAAUAAAAUUUCUAGUUAUUGUAAUAAUUUUAUUUAGUAUAUUAGAUCAAGGUGCAGUUUAUGAUAAAGGAGAGAUGGGUUACAAUAUUAUAUGUAUAAAUGGAUUAAAGGAGGAAUCUUUUUUAUAAAAGUGGAUUUAAUAGUAAAAUAAUUUUAAUAAGAUUUUUUGAUUAUAGCUCUAGGCUAUGUACACAUCGCCCGUCGCUCUCGUUAAUUAAAGC
rnacentral:rRNA from 1 species